UAAACAACAUAGCAACAUAACAAUAUCAUAAUCAAUAUGUUAAACAACAUAGCAACAUAACAAUAUCAUAAUCAAUAUGUUAAACAACAUAGCAACAUCUUAGUCAUCAUCAUAUAAUUCACAUCAUAAACAUCGUAUAAUCUUCGUAGGUACUUCUUUAACAACACAUAGGUAGAAGACAACUCGACAACUCAUAGAUGAUAAUUCAUCGACAACUUAACAACUCAUGGAUGAUAAUUCAUCAACAACGACCUUGACUCGACAAAUGCGACAAUGCAACUUAGACACUUAUAUGCAUGUGGUACCAAUCGUC
rnacentral:lncRNA from 1 species